rnacentral:rRNA from 1 species
ACUCAAAUGAAUUGACGGGGGCUCACACAAGCGGUGGAGGAUGUGGUUUAAUUCGAAGCAACGCGCAGAACCUUACCAGGUCUUGACAUACCGGGAUUAGUUUGGUGAAAGCCAGAUGAUUACUGUCAAAAGUGUAACCGGAACAGGUGCUGCAUGGCUGUCGUCAGCUCGUGCCGUGAGGUGUUAGGUUAAGUCCUUUAACGAGCGAAACCCCUACGAUUAGUUACCAGCGCGUCAUGGCGGGGACUCUAGUCGGACUGCCGCGCAAGUAGGAGGAAGGUGGGGACGACGUCAAGUCAUCAUGGCCUUUAUGACCUGGGCCACACACGUCCUACAAUGGAUGCGACAGAGGGUAGCAGAGCCGCAAGGUGAAGCCAAUCCCACAAACGCAUCCUCAGUUCAGAUUGUGGGCUGCAAUUCGCCCACAUGAAGCUGGAAUCGCUAGUAAUCGCGGAUCAGCUACGCCGCGGUGAAUAUGUUCCUGAGCCUUGUACACACCGCCCGU